AGGGGUAUAGCUCAGUGGUAGAGUGCAUGCUUAGCAUGCACGAGGUCCUGGGUUCAAUCCCCAGUACCUCCA
rnacentral:tRNA from 1 species